UGAUAUACCCUAUCGGCUGAUCCGGUUAGCUUUGGUAGGAACGCACCGAAGUGAUACAGAGUGGACUUCUCCCGAUCCAGGUAGAAUUGGACCACCACACUGCCUGGUCCGAGUUUGGAAUGCCUUCCGACUAAUGUCAGAGGGUAGUCAGGCCACCUGCAUUUCUGACUACCAGGUAAACCAAUUGGGCCAAAGCCCAACUGACAGACUUUCCAAACAAAUGUGAUUUUGUUUCCAGGAAGAAUCGAAACAAAAUGUGAUUUUAUUAGCCAUUUAUACUAAUAGCAAAACAUAACAGGAAUCAUACACCAAUAUGGCAACAUCCUUUAUAUACUAGAAGAACAAAGUUAUAACUUAUCUUAUAACACACAGUUGAACAAACUUUUAGCAGUUGGAAUUUACCUCUUCAUUCCACGGCAUAAGCAGUUGACAAUAAUACCAAUAGAUGAGUGGUUACUCUGGUAAAAACCAGCGUUAAGUUCUCGGUAUUUCAGUACUGGAUUUUUGUAGGACGGAUUUCAAU
rnacentral:sRNA from 1 species